GCAGGUGAGCGGGGCGGGGCCGGCGCGCACCUGUUUCCGCUGGACGUGUGCCGGAAAGGCAGUCGGCCGCUUCUCCGGAGGUCGCGGAACCUGCGGUCUGUGUAACCCCGACUCUGGGCUCUCGUUCAAUACAAGUCGUGGCUGCUCUCCUGACUGGUUUCCAAGUCGGAAAGAAGCGCCGACCGCAACUUGCGGCUUGCGUAAUCAAAGGGCAUGUUUAAAGAGCAGACGCAACCGAGUUUCCAGGGGCGACUCCUGGGCCCACCCGAGAACACGUUAAUUUAGCCGGCGCUGAGCCCUGCAAGAAGUCUUAGAUGAAGGGGCGCGGCUCUACCCUCUGGGAGCAGGCUCACAAUUGUGGGUGGGAGAUAGAGGGUCCACGCCCAGCCGAGGCCUAUGGUAGUAAGAUAGACGUCCUUCCCUGGAGGAAGAGGUCAGUGCAGGGUGGAAGGCAUUUCUCCAGGUCACCUUUCUAGGAGGAGGUGACUUUUGAGCUAUUAGGUGGAAACAAAAAGGCUUUGACGUCGUACACAUCAGGGUUCCAGCCUCUGCACGGGUCACACCCCCGCUCUGUGAACCCUGAACACAUCAGCAAAGCUCAGAGCGUUUCCAUCUUUAAGAUGCAGAUAGCAGUAGAUGCCCAGUAACAUUUUUGAGGAGCCCCUCCCUCCCCUGCCCGCCCCUGGUGAUCAUGUUAAUUUCUCCCUCAAUUUUACUCCCUCUCUUCUUUCCUCAGUCUCUUCCUUUCAUUCUUUCCAUUUUCUUUCUUUUCUCCUUCAUUCCUUCAUUUUUCUUUUUUCUAAUUGAGGUAUAACCUACACAUAAUAACCUGCACAGAACUUAAGAGGACACGUAGGUGAACUUUUAUGUAUGUAUACACAAGAAAUCAGCUCCCAGAUCAAGACGUAGGACGUUUCAGUCACCCCAGGUUUCCACCUGCUCCUUCCCCAGCCAAUGCUUAUCACCCCAGAGUUUUGGGCUAUUAUGAAGAAGCUGCUGUGAACAUUCUUACAGUCUUUUGGUGAAUAAAUGCACUCGAUUUUAUUGGGUAUGUAGCAGCAGGAACUGAAUAUGCCGGGGAUGGAAUAGCGUGUUGACCUGUGCCUUGGCACUUGCUUGUGGCCUUUCUUACUGGAUCGCGCCAUCGCAGCCUUGACUGUUCAGCUCAAUUCAUUACUUAUUUGACAUGAAACAUUGUCAGUGAGUCUAAUGGAAAAUUCCACUAAAGAAGGAAAAAACAUCUCUCAUAUGGAACAGCGAGCUAUUGAUUAAAGCUGCCACGUGCCCUCAGAGCUCCUUUCUUCGAUAAUGCCUAAAACAGAUCAAGGUUAACAUGGGUGUUACCUCUUAACAGUCCAAAUGUCGGGCUGGCUUUGAGUCCAGAGGUGAUGGACUAAUGUCCCAACUGCCUCACGUGGACCACACAGGUGACCCCGAGGACUGCGGGCUGGGACAAGGCAGUCACUCUCACCAAGAUGCCACCUGGGACUCUGACCUUGUGCCUUGUGAUUGCAUCGGGCCCAGCUGCAUCAUCCGGGAUCCUCUCCUCAUCUCAAGAGCCUUACUUCAAUCACAUCUUUUUUCUGCGGAAGCUGACAUCUUUACAGAUUUCAUCCUUGCCCAGACAUUAAUACAGAAGCUGGAACGAAACAAUUUCUACAGUCCAGACGCAAGAGCAAAGAAAAAAGAAUUUGGUACACACGAUUUCCUACGUGGAACACAUAGUAUGUUUUCAACAUCUUUUGGAAGUACUAUGUUAUUUCUCUGCAUAGUUAUUUAAGAGAGGCAAACCGCAAAUGGCAUUCCUUGUAUGUGUAUACAACAGCGAAUACAUCUAUCCAUAAGAUACAGUGAACUCACUUCUGUGUGUCUGAUCAAAGGCAAUAGUUCUCAUUCAGUAUUGUUCUCAUGUUAAAAAUUAACAUUCAUCAGACACACAUUAUGUGCUGGGAUGGUCUUGGAUGACCCAUCAGGCUGAGCUAAUCUACUGAAUAAUAUUGCCUAAUUUGUAGACCUUGGGGAAAUAAACCCCUGAUUUUUAUUGCUUCAGUGUCUGAUGUUAAACAAGUUCUAGAACAGCAGGCUAACCACAGGCUGGAGCCAUAACAUUGCUUGAUGAGCUGUCAGCGCACUGAUGCUGAGUUCUCGAGGUGCCACCGCCACAGCCCACAUGUCGGGGGCCCGCCCUGAAUCUCCUCCAAACGCAAGAAUGCCUGUAAUGUGGUUCUUUUAGGUUCAGCUGUCAAGGAGCUUUUUCAGUCUACUAGUUGAUGUUUAAAAACUCCGUUCUCAUUUUCUGAUAGAUUUUUAAAAACAAGAUAACUAGAUAUAGCUCUUUGAAGAUAAAUAUUGAGAACUCUGUCGACUAAAUUGAUUCAGUUCAGCAUUGUGCAAAAUGGUAUGGAUUCCUGUCAUUUGGGGAAGCUUUUAAAUUUCUAAGGACUUUUCCUAAAAGGAAUCAGAAUAAAAGACGUGAAGUAGAUACCUUAUA